GAUGAACGCUGGCGGCGUGCUUAACACAUGCAAGUCGAACGAUGAAGCCCAGCUUGCUGGGUGGAUUAGUGGCGAACGGGUGAGUAACACGUGAGUAACCUGCCCUUGACUCUGGGAUAAGCGCUGGAAACGGCGUCUAAUACCGGAUACGAGCUUCCACCGCAUGGUGAGUUGCUGGAAAGAAUUUCGGUCAAGGAUGGACUCGCGGCCUAUCAGGUAGUUGGUGAGGUAACGGCUCACCAAGCCGACGACGGGUAGCCGGCCUGAGAGGGUGACCGGCCACACUGGGACUGAGACACGGCCCAGACUCCUACGGGAGGCAGCAGUGGGGAAUAUUGUACAAUGGGCGCAAGCCUGAUGCAGCAACGCCGCGUGAGGGACGAAGGCCUUCGGGUCGUAAACCUCUUUUAGCAGGGAAGAAGCGAAAGUGACGGUACCUGCAGAAAAAGCACCGGCUAACUACGUG
rnacentral:rRNA from 1 species